rnacentral:lncRNA from 1 species
GAAUUAAUAACAUUUAUAAAAAAAUACAAACGACGACAUAAAACAAUACAUAUUUUUAGUAAAAGGCAAAAAAAAAACAAACAGUAAUCUCAAACGAAACAAAAAAAUACAUAGAAAAGUAUAAAAAAAUGUGUGACCCAAAUUUAUUGCGAUCUGUUUACAGUUACCACAGAGAAAACGAAUAACAAAAUAAAAAGAACAAAACAAGUAUGGUAAAAACA